AAACCAUCAAGCCCAGCUUGGUCUUGGACGCGGUCGAGUGACCCGUCCGUAACCCGUUGGCGGUGCAGUCCGGCUUCAAGCGUAGCAAAAAUCUCGCUUCGGGAGUCCGCGGCAGUGCCCGCCAGGUAAUCACAUCCCAAA
rnacentral:misc_RNA from 1 species